rnacentral:SRP_RNA from 1 species
GCUGGGCGUGGUGGCACGUGCCUGUGAUCCCAGUUACUUGGGAGGCUGAGGCAGGAGAAUUGCUUGAACCCAGGAGGCUGAGGUUUCAGUGAGCUGAGAUUGUGCCACUGCACUCCAGUCUGGGUGAUAAAGCAAGACUCUGUCUCAA